AAAGAAAAGGGUCCAGACCCCACACACGCCACUCGGUAAGGAAUUGGCCUAUAGCUCAGCUGGCUAGAGCACACGACUGAUAAUCGUGAGGUCAGUGGUUCGAGUCCACUUGGGCCCACCAAAUGGGGCUGUAGCUCAGUUGGGAGAGCACCUGCUUUGCAAGCAGGGGGUCACCGGUUCGAGACCGGUCAGCUCCACCACAGGGAUGGAAGGCCCGCAAAGAGCGCGGGCUGGUCGCUGGGGAAGCGGUAUGGAAGUGAUUUGGGAUUGGAUUUUUAGUGUGUAGUGCUGAAUGACGCUUUUAAGGAUGUAGGAAGUUAAAAGGCGCUAUUGAUCACUGCCCACUCGGAAGGUUUGAGUGCGUUAGUUUGUUCUUUGACAGUUGAGGAAGGGAAGGCCAUGUUUGCCAUCUUGCCGAUGGCGGACCUCCAGGUGGAUGCUUGGGGAUAUAU
rnacentral:tRNA from 1 species